rnacentral:rRNA from 1 species
UACAGAGGGUGCAAGCGUUGUUCGGAAUUAUUGGGCGUAAAGCGCGCGCAGGCGGUCCUUUAAGUCUGAUGUGAAAGCCCACGGCUCAACCGUGGAGGGUCAUUGGAAACUGGAGGACUUGAGUACAGAAGAGGAAAGCGGAAUUCCACGUGUAGCGGUGAAAUGCGUAGAGAUGUGGAGGAACACCAGUGGCGAAGGCGGCUUUCUGGUCUGUAAACUGACGCUGGAGGCGACGAAAGCGUGGGGAGCAAACAGG